rnacentral:rRNA from 1 species
UACGUAGGGGGCAAGCGUUGUCCGGAUUUAUUGGGCGUAAAGAGCGUGUAGGCGGUUUUACAGGUCCGCUGUGAAAACUCGAGGCUCAACCUCGAGCUGUCGGUGGAAACCGUAAGGCUAGAGUCCGGAAGAGGAGAGUGGAAUUCCUGGUGUAGAGGUGAAAUUCGUAGAUAUCAGGAGGAACACCAGUGGCGAAGGCGGCUUUCUGGACGGUAACUGACGCAUGAGACG